AUACAGUAACUACCAUAACUAACAGCCAUAGGGGGGGAGAUAAGCUAAAACACAAAUUGUCUAUGGGUAACCCUGCUGACCCUGACCCAACCCCGGAAGAGGCGUACGAAAAACUCUAGGAGCCCUAUCCUACAAUCCUGAUUCUAGACCUCCAGACUUUCCUAUCAAGGGUCAUAUCCUCAGAAACCUGCAUUCUAAUCAUGUCCUGCCUAAUCACCUCUCCCCAAUACUUCUUAGGCCUCCCU
rnacentral:lncRNA from 1 species